GCGCUUGCGCACUGGCUCCGCGUCGGCCGGUCGGUUUGGUCGGUUGUAGUGGCCUCGCCGCCCGGUCCGCUGUCGCAGCGCUCAUCCGCGCCGGGAGCCCUUGGCUGCGUCGCCCGGCAGCCGCGCCUCGCGAGACCGCUGUCUACGGCGCUGACGCCGCCUCUGCCUCUUGACCCCUUGGCCCCGCUGUCCUGAUCCCUGAGGUCGGGGCCUGGUCUGCACUCCAGGAAAGACGAGUGCGCUUAGUGUGCGCUGCACGUGAGCAGUGAAGUUGAUUCCACGCGCUGCGCUGCUCGGCAGCUGUCCCAGAACUGACCACGGACCCCUCCGCGGGUCCUGCUCCUGACAAGGGCCUUCCGGCACUGGGAGUUUUGUGUUAGUGGAAAGGAAGAAUCUAAUAAUACCACCACCUUUACAGUAAAGACGCUGCGAAUUGACGCCUUUUAUAAUAAAGACACUUAUCUUGCCCAAGAGCUGGGGAGCAUUUCCUGAAGACGUAGUCAUGCAGCACGUCAGCAGCUCCCAGAGCAGCCAGCGCCAUGUCCAGUGGCCUGGGGCCUGCCCCGGCGCGGGCGAGGAGCAGCCAGCGUGCUCCCAGCCGUCCCUGCCCCUCACACUGCCAUCCCCCAGCCACCAACUACAGCAGCUGAUGGAUGGGUCAGGGCUCACCCAGAUCGCCCAGGGAGCCCAGGUUCAGCUCCAGCACCCGGGUACGCCCAUCACAGUCCGAGAGCGGAGACCCUCCCAGCCCCACACACAGUCAGGGGGCACCAUCCACCACCUGGGACCCCAGAGCCCUGCAGCCGCGGGUGGGGCCGGCCUGCAGCCCCUGGCCAGCCCAAGCCACAUCACCACGGCUAACUUGCCACCGCAGAUCAGCAGCAUCAUCCAGGGCCAGCUGGUUCAGCAGCAGCAGGUGCUGCAGGGGCCGCCGCUGCCCCGGCCCCUGGGCUUCGAGAGGACGCCCGGCGUGCUGCUCCCCGGGGCUGGGGGCGCAGCGGGGUUUGGGAUGACGUCCCCACCCCCGCCCACCAGCCCUUCCAGGACUGCCGUGCCCCCAGGCCUUUCCAGCCUCCCACUCACGUCUGUGGGGAACACGGGAAUGAAGAAGGUUCCCAAGAAGUUAGAGGAGAUUCCCCCAGCCUCUCCGGAGAUGGCACAGAUGAGGAAGCAGUGCCUGGACUAUCAUCACCAGGAGAUGCAGGCUCUGAAGGAGGUCUUCAAGGAGUAUUUGAUUGAACUGUUUUUCUUGCAACACUUUCAAGGGAACAUGAUGGAUUUCUUAGCUUUCAAGGAGAGACUGUAUGGACCAUUACAAGCAUAUCUUAGGCAGAAUGAUUUGGACAUUGAAGAAGAGGAAGAGGAGCACUUUGAAGUCAUUAAUGAUGAGGUAAAGGUUGUGGCCAGAAAGCACGGGCAGCCUGGGACUCCUGUUGCCAUAGCAACCCAGCUACCGCCGAGGACUUCUGCGGCUUUUCCAGCCCAGCAGCAGCCGCUCCAGGUACUUUCUGAUGGCUCCACAGUGCAGCUCCCCAGACUUUCCUCACUCGGAUUUGAGGACUCGAUGUGCUGAGGCAGGACCCAGAGGGGUCCCAAGAGCCUGUCCUCUUUUGUUCAAAAUACAUCUUGAAACGUCUUUGUGAAGGCUCUUAGUUUUAAUGCAUGGAUGCUGUUAUUUUUCCCUACUGUUACUGAAAUUAAAAAGUGUUUGUCUCUGA
ensembl:lncRNA novel transcript